UCAAAGCAAUUCAUAUCUCAUUUUAAUAUAGUUCAUAGUUAAAAAAUAUAAGUUUAAAAUUCAUAUGAUUAAAUCAUGUUUUAUAGUCAAUAAAUAAUAAUUUCAUGUUCAUUUCUUUUUGUUAAAAUACUUGUGUAAAAGGGGGGGAACUUAUUUUUUGGUUCCGUGUGGAAUUUGUUAUUAGGGUGACGUUAUUUUUGGGUGCACUCACUGUGAUUAGAGAGACAUCUGCUGUGGCUUGCCAGCAUGUUGUUUGAAAGCUUAUGGAAAGGUGUAAAGCUGAGUACAAGUUGUCCUAAGGUGUGAAGAUGAAUAUCCCUUAAGUUAUUCUCUCGGGUUCAUGCGGCCAAUGAGGUAUUUGAUCUGUCUUUGUGAUUUAUUUGUGUUGUGUGCUGUGUUUGUAACAAGCCAAUUAUGAUGUCAUUUUACAUGGCAUAAAUGUAUGUUUGUUUAUUUAGUUUUCUAUGUAAUUUUGUCUUAAUAUUGUCUGCAAGUAUGUUUAUAAUUUAAGGUUAAUGUAUGUUUUUUGUGCUUUGUUUAUACCAGUUCUGACGGCAAUUUAGUAUUAAAAAAGGGACACGUGAAGACAUGUUUGAAGAUUCUGUCAUCAAAUAAAUGCCCGUUAAAACCCAGGAACGACUUGAGCCUUUAUUUAAACUCGAGAGGAGUAACAGUCAGAACUCAGCCUGCUUCGUGCUGGAGGAGAAGAGCAACGGAGCCAUUAACGAGCGGCUCGUUACAUCGUUAACUACGCUAACGAGCAUCAAAGACAGACAACACGAACUGCAUGCACGGAAAACCCGACAAGUGGCAAACGGAGUCCAGAGUCUGGUGGGGUCAAGCUACAAAGAAGUAACACAUUUAAACAAGUUAAAUGUUAAGAAGUAGUUUAAUCCUGCUAACUUAAAGGGACAGUAGAGUGUCAAAAGAGGUUGAAGUGUAUGUUUUUGCAAUUCAAAUUUGAGUUUAAGUGUAUGUUUUGCUAUUCAAGUUUGAGUUUAAGUGUAUGUUUAUAUUUGUAAGGUGAUGAUUGCAAAACUAGUUGUAAGACUAAUCACAAGUAAUUUUCUAAGUUAAAGGUGCCCUAAGGUAUUUUUUAAAGAGCAAGUUAUAUUGGGUUUCUUUGAUAUUGAAUGUCUUUUCUUUACUUCAUACAAGGUGAAAACAGUUCAUAAUUAGCUUAAGGUGUUUUUAACACAUUUAACUUAAUUGACAAGUUCAUAAUUACAAUUAAAGUAUAUUAUAUUCCAUAGUUCAUUACAAUAAUUUAGGUCAUCUUACAAAUUCACAAGUAAUUUUAUCUUAAGUCAAUACAUAUACAUCAGCUCAAGUAGUGAAAUGACUGAGCCUGACCAAGGAAGUGAAGCUGUGCAGUUGCAUGAGCAAGUAAGCCCGGAUGAAGAAUCUGUAGACUCAAGUUCACAGCAAGAGGCAAAUUCAAGUCAAGCAGCUGAAGAUGUUGGUUUGAGGAAAAGUCAAAGAACCAGAAAGCUUACUAAAAAGGGCCAAGCUCUACAUGAAGAAAGGAUGAAUAAGCUUCAGUGUCGCUUUAAGACCAAAUAUGACAAGUGGAAAUCUAUGGCCAAACAAGCUAAGAAAGCACUUGAUGCACCUAGUACUGCAAGUUUACAGGAUCACAUUGUAAAGGUCCAGAGUGCUUCAGAAGAAGUAAAGCAAACCUAUCAUGAGUUGCGCAGGUACGACACUCCUGAGAGUGAUACUCGUCGUAGAGUAGACACAUGUCAUGCUGUUUCGUUAAGGAUAAUAGAACAAGCAACAGAGUUUCUUAAAGAAGAAGAAAGUGGUAAAUGCCCAGCUAAAAGAUCCAUUCACUGGAGUGAGGCUGGCUCUGUGUUCCAAUCAGCAGCAUCUUAUAGGUCCAAAAGUGUGGGUAGCGCAAUCACACGUUCAAGCCAUUCAAGUAAGUCCUCUGUGAAGAAACAAGAAGCAGCAGCAGAACUGGCUGCAACUGAAGCCACUUUAAAAGUGAUGCAAGAAAUGGAAAGUAAGCAAAGGGAACUUGAAAAUCUUGAAGCUGAAAGCAGAAAACGACUUGCACAACAAGAAGCAGAGAAUGCUGAAACGCAAAGGAAAUUAGAAGAAAAGCGAAGGCAGAUAGAACGCUUUGAAACUGUCAAGAAAAUGGAAGCAGCCAAAGCACGUCUGAAAGUUUACAAACAAGAAUUAACUUCAGAUGAAGAAAUAUCAGAAUUUCUACACAGUGAGUCCAAGCCUAAGAAAGCAGCACCUUACAUGCAUAGUUUGCCUGAAUCUCAUCUUGGACAACCUGCUGCUAACCUACAACAACGCAUUGUGCCACAAGAGGUCACAAGCCGGCAACAUGUAACCAAUACUACACAGGAAGAUGGCACUACUGCAUUAGCUAGAGCGUUAGCAGAAUCAAUUAACAUUAGCCGAUUACCAGUACCAGAACCUUCAGUCUUUAUUGGAGACCCCCUCAAGUACAAAGAUUGGGAAAUGUCCUUUCAAACUCUGAUAGACAGGAAGAACAUCCCAGCAAAUGAAAAACUCUACUACCUCCGCAAAUAUGUUGGUGGGCCAGCAAAGAAAGCAAUUGAGAGCUAUUUUCUGUUGGGGACUGACACAGCGUAUCUUGCAGCAUGGAACAUUCUGAAGGAGAGGUAUGGAAGCUCAUUCGUAAUCGCCAAAGCCUUCAGGGAUAAGCUUACAUCAUGGCCAAGAAUAGGACCAAAGGACAGUGCUGAAUUACGAGAGUUCUCAGACUUUCUCAGAGGCUGUGAAGCAGCGAUGUUCCAGAUUAAAAAUCUUGAAGUUCUCAACGACUGCAGUGAAAAUCAGAAAAUGCUCAGCAAGCUUCCUGAUUGGUUAAUAGCAAGCUGGAAUAGAAAGGUAAUUGAGAUUCAAGAGCAAAGCGGGUCAUUUCCAACAUUCAGCAACUUUGUCAACUUCAUUACUAGAGAGGCCAAGAUAGCUUGUAAUCCAGUAACAUCGCUUCAUGCACUAAAGGCAAGUGAUUCUGAAAAAAUGAAGAUCCCAAAGAUACGAAGUGUUGGUGCAAAGGUGCUAGCAAGCAGUUCAGAAGAGAAACCAGACAUUAAGAGGUGUAUAUUCUGUGAAAGGCCAAACCAUGAAAUUCAUGUUUGCCGAAAGUUUAUGGACAAGUCAAUUACUGAACGAGUUAAGUUUGUACAAACAAAAGGCUUGUGUUUUGGAUGUCUCAGCCCUGGACACUAUUCAAGGAAAUGUGAAAGUAGAAGUGUUUGUAACACAUGCAAAGGAAAGCAUCCAACAUGUUUACAUCAGGAACGUGACAGGGAAGUCAAAAGGACAAAGGAUACUGACAAGGAACAAAAGGACACCAGGGACACCAAACAACCAAGUACAGAAACACCAAACAAGGCAAUAUCCAAUCGUGUUGUACAAAAUAUUAACUGUGAUCUCACAUCCACAAUCAUUCCAGUUUGGUUAUCCACAACAAGCAAUCCAGAACAUGAGGUUCUUGUCUAUGCCCUUCUGGACAGUCAGAGCGACACCACAUUCAUUCUUCAAGAAAAGGCGGAUGCUCUAGUCACAGAAAAGGAGCAAGUACAGUUGAAGCUUUCCACGCUGUCAUCCAGGGACACAGUCAUUCCAAGUCAAAAGCUCUUUGGGCUACAAGUUAGAGGCUUUUACACAUCCAAGAGAAUCCCUCUCCCAACGACAUACACAAGAGACUUUAUCCCUGUCAAUUUAAGUCAUAUUCCCACACCUAAGAUAGCAAGAGCAUGGGCUCACCUAGAGCACCUUGCUGAAGAGAUCGCUCCUAUGAUAGAGUGUGAUGUCGGCUUGCUUAUCGGGUACAACUGUUCGCAAGCUUUGAUACCCAGAGAAGUGGUGUCGGGAAAGGACAAUGAACCAUUCGCUCAAAGAACAGACCUUGGCUGGACUAUAGUCGGAGGUAUUGACCCCUGUGUGGAUUAUGGUGAUGCUAUAGGAAGUAGCCAUAGGGUCAUAGUUAAAGAAGUGACACCUUCUGUUCAGUCACCAACUCCCUUAACAAAUGAAGUCAUGUAUGUCUGUCGUACACAAGUCAAAGAGCUAGUCACACCAUUUGAUGUGAUCAAAGUAUUGGAGUCCGAUUUCAAUGAACGCCGCAUGGAGGAGACUCACUUCUCCCAGGAGGAUUUGCGUUUCAUUUCCAUAAUGGAGGAAGGAGUGAAAAUGAAAGCAAAUGGUCAUUGUGAGUUGCCUUUGCCCUUUAAGAAGGAUAGACCAAAUCUGCCAGACAAUAAAAUCUGUGCCGUACAUAGACUUAAAUGUCUAAAGAAAAGAUUUGAGAAAGACACGCAAUACCACAAAGACUACACAACAUUCAUGAAUGAAACAAUAAGCCGUGGAGAUGCGGAAAAGGUUCCAUUUGACGAACUGGACAAAAGUCCCUCCUGGUACAUCCCUCACCAUGGUGUCUACCACCCCCAGAAACCUGGAAAAAUAAGAAUCGUGUUUGACUGCUCGGCAAAGUAUGAAGGUGUGUCAUUAAAUGACUUUCUGCUCACUGGGCCAGAGUUGACCAACAGCCUGGUAGGUGUUCUAUGUCGGUUUCGUAAGGGUCAAAUAGCGGUGAUGUGUGACAUAGAACGCAUGUUUCAUCAAUUCCAUGUCAAGCCAGAAGAUCAAGACUACUUCCGCUUUCUGUGGUGGGAUAAUGGAGACUUCUGUUCCAACGCCUCUGUCUAUCGUAUGCGUGUUCAUCUUUUUGGAGCUGCUUCAUCACCCGGCUGUGCAAAUUACGGUCUCAAGUACAUCGCAGCUCAAGGGCAAGGUCAUUUCAGUGAAGCUACAAUCCGUUUCAUUGAGAGAAAUUUCUAUGUGGAUGAUGGCCUAAUAAGUGUCCACUCAGAAGAAGAGGCUAUCCAGUUGGUAAAGGAAGUAAGACAACUCUGCAGUACAGGCAAGUUGCGACUUCAUAAGUUCAUAUCAAACAGCCAACGAGUAUUGGCAUCCCUACAAAAGGAAGACUGUGCAGAGACAGUAAUGAAACGAGACCUAGCUCUUGGCGAACAACAAAUUGAGAGGGCUUUGGGCGUCAAAUGGUGUGUUGCCUCAGACCAUUUUCAGUUUCGAGUAGUCGUAAAUGAGCGCCCUCUCUCCAGAAGAGGAGUUUUGUCCACAGUUGCCUCUAUCUUCGAUCCACUUGGCUUUGUGGCACCUUUCAUCUUACUUGGGAAACAAAUACUUCAACAAAUGUGUCGUGAGAAGGUCAGCUGGGAUGAGCCACUGUCAAAUGAGUUAAGGCCACGGUGGGAGUCCUGGCUACUGGAUCUACAAAACUUAGCCAAUGUCAAGAUUGAGCGAUGCUACCUACCAGAUGAUUUCAAGACAGUUCACAAGUAUGAAGUCCAUCAUUUUUCAGACGCAAGUGUCAAUGGGUAUGGAGUCUGUACCUAUCUAAGAGCAAUCAGCACAACAGGAAAGAUACACUGUGUCUUAGUAAUAGCUAAAUCCAGAGUAUCCCCCACAAAGGUAACCACGGUGCCAAGACUCGAGCUGUCUGCAGCAGUGGUAGCAGUACGCACAAGUGACAUGCUCAGAGGAGAAUUGGAGCUUGAAAACGCCCAAGAGUUCUUCUGGACCGAUUCAAAUGUUGUCUUAGGAUACAUCAACAAUGAUGCAAAACGAUUUCAUAUCUAUGUAGCCAACCGCAUACAGCGCAUCAAGGAAAGUACAAACCCAACUCAGUGGAAAUAUGUGACAUCAGAAGACAAUCCCGCUGAUCAUGCGUCACGAGGGCUUAAGGCAAAGGAGCUCAUUGCUUCCAAUUGGUUUAGUGGCCCAGAUUUUCUCUGGCAGGAACAGCUUCCAGGUGGUGAGGUAAAGGUGGAAGAAAUUGAUGCCAAAGAUCCAGAAGUGCGCAGAGUCAUUGUGCACCAGACCUCAACCACAAAGGAUUUACUAACUAAUCGUUUCCUUAAGUUUUCAAGCUGGACAAGACUAGUGAAAGCAGUUGCCAGACUUCAAAGAUUUGUCAAGGAGUUAAAGGGUACAAUACAGAGAACUAAUGAAGCCACAAGUCUUGAGGAAAGACAGGAGGUAGAGCUUACCAUCAUGCUCAUGGUACAAAGGGAAGUCUUCUCCAAGGAGAUCAAUGAUCUUGAAUCACAAAGGGAGAUGACCAAAGACAAAACCAGUAGGUUGUACCGACUCAAUCCCUUUUUGGACCACAGAGGUAUCCUUAGAGUGGGAGGUCGAUUAGAACAUGCUGCCAUGCAUUCACAUAUCAGACAUCCAGUCAUUUUACCAAAAAACAGUCACAUAACAAGAUUACUGAUCGAUCACUAUCACAGACAAGUGAAACAUCAAGGGCGUGGCAUGACCAUAAAUGAGUUGAGAUCAAAUGGUAUUUGGAUCCUUGGAUGUAGUCAAGCUGUGUCAUCAGUCAUCUACCACUGCGUUAAGUGCAGACGAUUCAGACGUAAUACAGAAGAGCAGAAAAUGGCAGACCUGCCACGUGAGAGAAUGGAGACAACUCCUCCCUUCACGUAUUGUGGGAUGGAUUGUUUCGGUCCAUUUUACAUCAAAGAAGGUCGAAAGGAGUUGAAACGUUAUGGACUAUUGUUCACAUGCUUGUGCUCUCGUGCAGUGCACAUAGAGUUACUUGAUGAUCUUUCAACCGAUGCAUUCAUCAACUCACUUCGUGCUUUCAUUGCCCUACGUGGAAAUGUUCGUCAACUGCAAUCAGAUCAGGGCACCAAUUUUGUUGGAGCGAGGCGUGAAUUCCUAGAAGCAGUGAAAGAAAUGAAUCAAGAAUGCCUUAAACAAUUAGGCUGUGAGUUUGUGAUGAACCCUCCUUCUGCUAGCCAUAUGGGCGGAGUUUGGGAAAGACAAAUCCGUACCAUCAGAAGUGUAUUAACAUCUAUACUAGAUCAGUCAUCCCGAACACUCGACAGUUCAUCCUUACGGACUUAUCUUUAUGAAGUGAUGGCCAUCAUAAACAGCCGACCUAUGACAGCACACUUGCUCAACGAUCCAACAGGUCCUCAGCCUCUCACGCCCAACCUGCUUCUGACAAUGAAGUCCUCAAUAGUAUUGCCUCCACCUGGAAAUUUUGUGAAGGAAGACCUUUACCUCCGCAAGAGAUGGCGUAAGGUCCAAUACCUUGCCAAUGAGUUUUGGCACAGAUGGAAAAGGGAGUACCUACUGAGUUUACAACAAAGACAGAAAUGGCAAAAGACAAAAAGAAAUGCAAAAGUCAAUGACAUAGUAAUUGUACAAGACGAUACCGCACCCAGAAACGAAUGGAAGCUGGCUAAAGUUGCCAACGUGUAUCCAGCUGAAGAUGGAUGUGUGCGGAAGUUUCAGUUGCUGAUCAGCAACUCUGCAUUAGAUGAACAAGGAAAGAGACUCAGCAAGCCAGUCUAUUUGGAGAGACCUAUUCACAAGACAGUCACAUUACUUGAAGCUGACUUACAUAAUUUUAACUUGCAGUAAUCGCUCACACAUAGUUAAUUGGUUAAAAUCACAAGUGAUUUGGUGGGAGUGUAGCUGCCAUCAAAGCAAUUCAUAUCUCAUUUUAAUAUAGUUCAUAGUUAAAAAAUAUAAGUUUAAAAUUCAUAUGAUUAAAUCAUGUUUUAUAGUCAAUAAAUAAUAAUUUCAUGUUCAUUUCUUUUUGUUAAAAUACUUGUGUAAAAGGGGGGGAACUUAUUUUUUGGUUCCGUGUGGAAUUUGUUAUUAGGGUGACGUUAUUUUUGGGUGCACUCACUGUGAUUAGAGAGACAUCUGCUGUGGCUUGCCAGCAUGUUGUUUGAAAGCUUAUGGAAAGGUGUAAAGCUGAGUACAAGUUGUCCUAAGGUGUGAAGAUGAAUAUCCCUUAAGUUAUUCUCUCGGGUUCAUGCGGCCAAUGAGUUCUGACGGCAAUUUAGUAUUAAAAAAGGGACACGUGAAGACAUGUUUGAAGAUUCUGUCAUCAAAUAAAUGCCCGUUAAAACCCAGGAACGACUUGAGCCUUUAUUUAAACUCGAGAGGAGUAACAGUUUCAUCAACUCAUCCACAAGACGAUCCUCAGAAACACUGAGAACCUGAGCUUCAGGUGAUGUGACUUUUGGAGAGACAACUUUCUCAUACUCUGUAUUGAGUACUGUGUUACCCUUCCUCGUUUUUUUCCAAUCCAUGGAGCCCACUUUUCAUAACUUGGCUCCACAACAAAUGGAUUUUUUGCUCGGCCUGAGGGGGAAAACAUUUACAAAUAUGUAAGUAAUGUAAUCAUAUCAAUAUUAAACCAGAAAACCAGACUAUAGAAUAUUGAAGACAUGUCACUCUUACAUGAAUACAUACAUAUAUUACUAAAAAAGACAAUGUACCAUCAUACAACUACUUACUGGAAACAAAGCCACGUGCAAUCAUCUCCAGAUCAACUGACUCCCAAAACUCCUCAAUGUUUACUUCCCCUUUGAACUCUGAUGGUGGUUCUUUGAGGUCACUCACUGUAUUGAAAAAUGUUUUUAGAAACUCCCUUUAGGUUUUAAAAAUGUAACAAAGUUUGUGUAAAGAAAUAUUAAAUAUUUGUUCUGAGUUCGUCACACCACAGAAACGUGUUAUUAACCACCCAGCCAAAUUUGAAUGAUAAAAAACUGCUAAAUGAUAAAAAAUAAGGUACCAAAAUUGUGUAAACUCAGCAGAAUUCUCACAGCAAAGCUGCAAUUUGACAAAGUAUCAUAAAAGCCAUUUGAAAGCACAAGAAGCCAUCUCACUGUAGUUUGAUGUCCUACAUUAAUCUGUCUGAGCAGCACUACUUUCAGUUACAGCAGGGGUGUCCUGGAGAGCCAUAGCCCUGCACAGUUUAGAUUAAACUGUAAUUAAACACACAUCAUCCAGCUAAUCACAUCCUUCUGGCUUAUUUGAGAAUUAUAUGGUAUGCAUGUUGUAGUAGGGUUGGGAACUAAUUUCCAAAAGGAAAUGGCACUCCGGGAACUGAGUUUUGACACUCCGGCUAUAAGAGAUGUCUUUAACUUAAAGAAGUGCUACACAGAAUGAUUAUUUUACACAUGUUAUAGUGUUAGGGAAGGGGCCUCAUGAUUUUAGGCCCACCAAAAAAAACUAUAUGCACAAUUUAGUAGUACAUAGUUUACAUUUAGAAUCAAUUAUCUUAAUUGACAGACUUUACGCAGACUUUAAAUUCCUUUACCUGCCAUGCUGAAAACGCCUUUCUUAUGCAAAUCCAUGAUUACCACAGAGGGGUGGUAACCACAGUUUACACAAGAAUAUGUAUAAUCACUAUCUGUUAGGGCUUCAAAAUGACAGUAAGCAUGGAGUACAGUGUCUCGAUUUGGGUACUUCUCUCCCCGAAGGCUCUCCAAAGUAUCAAUGGCCCUGGAAACAGCAACGUGACUCUGAAUCACAAAAAGUGGAAUAGAUGGUGUUUAUGAAAUUUUUAAAUUUAAAGUGUCAUUUAACUCAAUGAUACACACAAACCUGUAAACUGUGUCUAAGAUAAAGACAAAGUUCCGAACUCAGAAGAAUGUAGUCGUUUAAAUUAUGGAGCCCAUCACGCCAUUCUUGGUAGAUCAUAUGGCAACUUGGGCAUUUUCGAGUGUAGUUGAAACCCCUAUAAAAGGAAAAUAAUAAAGAUCACGUGUAUUCAGUAAGAAGGCAAACACAUAAUUCUGUAACUCAAAUAUUUCUAUUUGAAUUUAUGUAAAAUUACCAUUAAUGACUCCAGUCAUGGUGACAAUUCUGGCAUUUCUUGUUGUUAAUACCAGCAUUUCAAGUGCUGUAUUUUCAUUACACACCAUACAACUGGUCUCCACAGGAAGCAAACUUGAUGGAAACUCAGGUGAUGUUUUUGGUUGGGCUACUUUCUUCUUUGAGUAAAUAUACUUCACAGUGCGGUGCAGGUCAAACUGGGGAGCAGAGGUGAGGUCUUCUGAGAGUUGUGUAACUGAGGAGUCAAUUGCUUCAGAUGGUUUCUCUGAUGCAUAUAAUUGUUUAUUUGUUUGAAACAAGUGCCAUUUGGCAAUGUUUUUGUGGGGGCAUGAUAUUCGGGGCUUUGCACAGGGG